rnacentral:rRNA from 1 species
UACGAAGGGGGCUAGCGUUGUUCGGAAUUACUGGGCGUAAAGCGCGCGCAGGCGGCCAUUCAAGUCAGGGGUGAAAGCCCAGAGCUCAACUCUGGAACUGCCCUUGAAACUGUAUGGCUUGAGUAUGAGAGAGGUGAGUGGAAUUCCCAGUGUAGAGGUGAAAUUCGUAGAUAUUGGGAAGAACACCGGUGGCGAAGGCGGCUCACUGGCUCAUUACUGACGCUCAGGCGCGACAGCGUGGGGAGCGAACAGG